rnacentral:rRNA from 1 species
GAUCCUGGCUCAGGACGAACGCUGGCGGCGUGCUUAACACAUGCAAGUCGAACGAGAAUCUGUGGAUCGAGGAUUCGUCCAAGUGAAGCAGAGGACAGUGGCGGACGGGUGAGUAACGCGUGAGGAACCUGCCGUUUCAGAGGGGGUACAACAGUUGGAAACGACUGCUAAUACCGCAUGAUACGUUUUGGGGGCAUCCCCGAGACGUCAAAGAUUUAUCGCUGAAAGAUGGCCUCGCGU